AAGGGUGGGGCUUUUCUCGGUCCUUUGCUCUUUGCUCCGGGACUUUGGGGACCUAGAAAUUCUUGUCAGGGAAGGCCCGAGUAUAGAAGAAUAUGAGGAAAUAGUUUCUUCUAUCUCUCUGCACCUCGCAUUGCCACUUACGGUGGAUUGUUUAUAAUUUUCAGUUGGAGGAAUAUGCUUAAUCAUGUUGUGAUAGAUUUCCACUAUGAAGCCACGCAAAUGUGUAGCAGCCUUAAGUAGCCAACGAGAAGAUGUUCCAGAAAGCCAAACAAAUUAUUAUAAUAUUAAGGGGUUGCUCGACUGCAGUGUUUAUUUAAAAGAAAUUUCAAGAUACAAAUUGACAGGUCUUAUGUGAAUGUUUGGAUUUUUAUUUUGUAGAAUGGGCCACUUCACAGACAGUAAGUGGCCUGCUCAUGGAAUCUCAACAUUCUACAACUGAAACGAACUAUAAAUUUAACCCCUCUGCAGUCCCCCAACAGAAAAUAGGGCUUGAGUUUGACGUUUUAGUGCAUCCAUUUCAUAGAUGCCUACGUAAAUGCUUGAGAAAAGAAAAAUAAUGACAAUAAUGGAAGUUCUACAAUGCAAUGUUUGGAUGACUAGAAUAAAUUUGGAGUUACUUCCCAUUUUGAAAUUACAUAGUUUUAAAAAUCUGUUUACAGUGCAAUUCUGUUGUAAUGGGUUGGUUAUUAGAUAAACACUGGUAUAUGAAUAUCUUGGCUUUGCUGCCUCAUCUACAAAAAUAUUUUCCAUUUGGAACUCCAAGAGCCCAUGUAGCCCUAAGAAUUUUGUGAUGAAAUUGUCAACACAUUAUUUAAUGUCUUCCAACACUAACAUACUAGUAAUAAGUGUACAUCGUCCCUCUUUGCCUCUCUUUUAUCUAGUUUUUACCCAAUAACUACAAAAUAAAUAAUCAAUGGAAGCAUAAGACUUUGGGAACAAAUUGACAAAAACAAACUAGAAUGUUACUUGGGAAAAUUCAUUAUGCACAUUGUUGCUGUGUAUAAACUAUGUUUGCUUGAUGAACAAGUUACCAUACAAAAGCCUACCCUUAAAAAGCUGAAAGUAGGAAAUAGAGCGAGACGUUUUGUCCAGAUGGUGAUAGCUCUGAUUCUGGAGGUAGAUCAAACUGAAGGUACAACCUGAUUCUUUCACUUACUAGUUCUAUGAGUUGGAAGUUGUUUAUGACUCUUGUGUUUUUUGUUUGUAAAACAAGGGCAGUGAUGAUUACCUUGCCAUGUUUUUGGGUGGUUAGAGAUUAUGUACAUAGUGUGUUCUACACAUAAUCGUCCAUCAGUGUGGGGCCUUAUUAUUCUGAGGGAAGCCACAGGAAAACUUGAUAUGCAGAGACCUGCUUGAUUCUCAGGACGUUGCACUUGUAGAUAUUAAUUUGGUUCUUCUUUCUCCCUAUCUGCUCAAAUUCUGAUGAAAAGAAAACCCGUUAAAAAUACCCGUGUACUAGUGAAUGGAUAAAUAAUUAUUCCUUGCUUCUUCUAGCUUCUGGUGACUGCCAGAAUUCCUUGACUUGUUACAGAAUCACUCUAAUAUUGGCAGCCAACAUUUUGAAAUGUGACUCUCUUUGUCUUUAUAUUGGUCUUCUCUGUGUGUAAUAUCUCUUUUUGCUUCUUUCUUAAAGGAUAUAUGUAAUUGCACAUAUAAUCCAGGAUAAUCUUCUCUUCUCAAGACCUUUAAUUUAAUCAUAGCUUCAAAGACGUUGCAGUAUAAGAUAAUAUUCACAGGUUCCAGUAAUUAGAUCCACAUAUCUUUGGGUGCUAUUAUUUAGUUUACUGCAGAGAAUAAGUGAAGAAAAAAGGACUGGCAGGGACAAGAAUGUGUGUUCAAUUUCUGCUUCCAAAUAUGUUAAUUGGUUAAAUCACUUCUGCUUCAAGAGGAAUAAGUGAGAGGUGAGAGGGAAUAGAUAUGUACGAGUUUUCUUCUUGCAUAGUGAAUUUCAAACAUUUUUUGACAUGACCUUUAAUAAGAAAAAUAUUUUACAUUAUGGUCUAAGGAACAAAUACAUACUUGGGCACACUGAGCAUAUAUGCAGCUGUACACACACACACGCACACAUACACACUCAGAUACCCAUAAUUUAAAUUUGUGUUUUAUGAGACAGUAUCUUAACUUCAUGAGAUACCUGCUGGUCUUUUUUAUAUUUUCCCAUUUUUUGGAGAUAGGGUUUCAUUAUGUGACCCUCAGCCUGAAAUCCUGGCUGGGUUUGAAUUUACAAUCCUCCGGCCCCAGCCUCCCAAAUGUUGGGAUUACAAGUAUGUGCCACUCUGCCUGGCUGGCUAUUUAUUUAUUUAUGAAUCUAGAAAACCUUUUAAAUUCAUGACCCUCUAAUUGGUCAUAACCUGAAGUUUGGAAAGCAUCACUCUACAAAAAUCCAUAUUUGAAAUAAUGCCAGGAAAAUAGUGGUUUUUUUCUCUCUAAAAAUUAUAUGCCAGACAUUUGCUUUAUGUAGAUUAUUUCAUUUCACCCUAUGAAAGUAACAUUUGUGUUUUGCAGGUCAGGGUAUUUUACUGAUAAAUUUUGUUUUCCCCUCCAGAUCCCCUCUCUACCCUCCCCUUUUUUAAACCAUGCUAUGUGCUGCAGAGGAGCACAGGAGGUUAGGAAGCUGCCUUUAAAGGACUGCAUUGAUGGUCUCUUUGGUCUUCUGGCUUGGAGUUCACUUAGCUGUGUGAUCAGUGCAUCAGACGGUAGGAAAAAUCCGCAGAGAGAAGAAGCUGCCCAAGAAUGGAAAGGAAGAAAUAUAUCACAUCAUCUGUCUGUCCACAGGCUUUCCUUGGGGCUUAUGAAGAUUUCCUCAUGGUAGUGAUUCUUCUUUACUGUCUUGCAUUCAGAAUGAUGGCAUAGAUCUUAAAAAUACACCCAGCAUUUGAAUAGUACCUGUAGAUCUCGCCUCCUCUGCUGCCUUGUUCUCCAGGAGUCCCUGUGGCGCCUCGCUGCCGGCGGUCUCGCUAAUCACUGUAGUCCUCCCCGUAAGGAGGAGAGCAUGAAAAGCACCUAUUUUGAGAUAUGAAGAGAAACAGUGGGAUCGCAGUGGCAAAGCUAGGCUAGGUCUGGAGGCUGGUGUGAGAGGCGAUGCGGGCGAAGGCAGGAGGCGGAUGGGGAGAAGAAAAGCCGAACUGGAUUCACGGUGCCUCGGAUGGAGGCUGAGAGGGGAACUGCAAGCUCCUUCAACUCGUUCUGUCCGGUGAGAAGCGAUCCAGCUUGGGCUGACAGGAGGCUCAGGAAGCCCUCACGUUCUUUGCUUUUUUUACCUGCCAAUCAAACUGCUACAAGACAACACCCUGAUCUGGCGUGGACAUAUCCAAUAGAAAUAAUGUUUACUCAGGAUGAGUCUCGAGGUCAGGAGACGCUGGCCUGGCUGGCUCCGUUCUAGGACUCUGGUCUUCGGUCGUCAGAACCCACAGAGGCCGAACUUCCUGCUUGAUGCUCCUGAGGCUCUGGAAGGAAGCUGCCUGGAGGAUAUGAAGCCUGAGUCCUGCAGAGGAGGAGUGAAUGAGGCUGCUACGGUCACUAACCCACCUGGCUGCUGCUGUGUAACCAAGGGACCACAAGUUACACACGUGUGGCUGGGCAGGUCCCUCUCAGGCCUGCUGUCCGACCUCUCCUUCUUGUGGCCUUUUCAACGAGAAGACAAGGAAAAAAGUGACUCCUGACUUGUGUGUGUGUAUAUAUAUAUUUUUUUUUUUUUUUCUUUUUUUUUGGUACCAGAGAUCGAACUUGGGUCCUUGCACUUUAGAGGCAGGCAGUAGAACCACUGAGCUAAAUCCCUGGCCCUUUUAUUUAUAUAUUUAUUUUAUUUGAGACAGAGUAUCACUAUGUAGCCCAGGCUGGCCUUGAACUCUCAGCCUCCUGAGUGCUGGAAUCACAGAUGUGUGUGACCACACCCAGCUCUGGAUUAUAUUUUUUAAAAUUAAGAUUAAUAAAUUGUUUUAUGUCCAUUCCAGUACAGGAACUCAAUGGCAGUUACAAAACAGUACAAAUGGGUCACAGAAAAAAAUAUGUUCAAGAUUAGGUUAAACCAUUUCUCUGAAAUGCCUGCAUCCAUUUUUGGGGAGACAGCUACUAUAUUCCUGUGAUUCAUCUUUUUUGGAGGAGGGGCUUAAAAUCAAGAUGAGAAAUGAUAUUUAGACCGAAGAUAUUGUUUUCUUAUAUAGCCAUUAUUUUUUAAAAGAUUUCUUUUUUCUUUAUUUGAUUUUGUUAGUACAUGUUUACAUUCCUUGUGGGGAAUGGGUACCUGUACAUGACACAUCUGAAUUCCUUUUUCUACAUUUUAAAAUGCAAAUCAACCCUGUCCUCACAGUGCUUCACCAUAUCCGUGUGUGUGCACGUGCGCAUGUGUGUCUGCAUGUAUGUGUGCAUGCACGCCUGUAUACAUUCAUUCAUGUGUGUAUAUCUUUUCAUACAUAUGUAUGUGUGUGUGGAGGAGGUCUUUUCAAACUUCUAGAAUCUGGAUCUUGUUAGAAGUAGGUGAGAAAAUUAAGAGAGGUCCAGAAUAAUAACAACAAUAAAGAUCAGUGGUUUCAUUUCACAAAACCCCUCGCCAGGCAUAGUAGUGGCACACAACUGCAGUCCCAGCAGGGGAGGCUGAGGCAGGAGGAUUGAGGUGAGUUUGAGGCCAGCCUGGGCUACAGAGUGAGACUGUGUCUCGUAAAAAACAAGCAAAAAAAGAAACAAACAAAACAAUGUCAAUGCUCAUUGUAUAGUAUUCUUUUUUUUUUUUUUUUUGGUACCGGAGAUCGAACUCAGGUCCUUGCGCUUGCACAGCAGGUGGCAAAACCACUGAGCUAAAUCCCUGGCCCAGUUGUACAGUAUUCUGAUAGUUUUAAAAGUACUAUGAUUGAAGAAUAUUAUACUCCUAAAUUAUUAUGAUUCUUAUAUAAUUUCAAGCAACACAUAGGAACCACUUUAAUGAUUUUUUUUUUUUGCUUCCAUUUGUUUUAGAGGGGGUAAUUAAAGAAAAAAAUUUUUUGAGACAGAUGCUAUGUAGUUCAGGCUGUCCUUGAACUCACUAUGUAGUCCAGGCUGGCCUCGAACUCAGAGUGAUUCUCCUGCCUCAGUCUCCUGAGUGCUGGGAGAGGAAUUAAGUUUUAAUUCCUAGUAUUUCUGUUGCUGUGAAACAUUAGGAUAAGAUAGCAUUUGCUAUUCACAUGGAAGAUAAACUGUGGCUUAUUAAAAAUUUUGAUGUUCAUUGCUGUAAAAUAAAGUGCAUAUUGUAUUUUUUCCUGAGUGUUCUUUUAUUAUAUGUACUAAAUUUUACAAUGUUGUUUUUAAUAUACUGUUUUAUUAAGUUAUUUUUUACAAGAUAAAAUACAUAAUAGUAAAAGAGUUCCUUGCUUUUGUUCUAAUUUUACUGUGUCAAGUCAAGCAAAGUGGACACAUCUCUCAAGAAAAAAAAAUCCUGAGCAUGUUUUUGAAUCAAAAUGAUUAUUUACAGUAUUUUUUCCUAAUAGACUAGCAUUUAUUGUGGAUCUUAUUUCAAAGCUGAUUAUUCUCAAAGAAAAGCAGAGGUAUUAGAAUUUCCAAAUAAAUUACAUUGUUUAAAAGUACAUUAAUGCAUUAUUCAUACUGUUCUCUGCAAUUGGCUAAAAAUGCAAAAAGAGAAAAGAUAAAAAGAUUAAUUUAAAAAACACAGUCCGUAGUAUCCUCUAAAAUAUCAAAUUUGGGGAUUUGAAAGAACUUACAGAUUCCAUUUUGGGGGAAAAUAGUGGAAAUUUAUAUCCAAGCCAUACACAAUUUAAGUCGACCCCCCCUUAAAAAACAUUAACCAUGAUAGGCAUCUCGGCAAGGUAGGUUUUAACAUAUUUUUUCCUAAUUUUCCCCCCUCCAUUCAGUAAGAAGGAUAAGCUUUUCCAGUAACCAGUCACCGUGGUAACUGCCAAAAAAAUUCUCCUGAAGUUUGAAGAGGUCAGCGGGCGGGGUCAGCAGCCCAGCCCUCCUGCCGCAGCCCGGGCCUGCGCUGGGGGUGUGGGGCUGAUCCGGCCCUGAGAGGGGACCCUUCCGCCUCUGAUAUAAAUUUUUUAAGUCAGUUCGUGGCCUAGACUCUCCAGGUGGCCUCCGAAAUCGAUUGUGACCCCCUGACCCUGUCUCGAGGAGGAAUAGCAUCCACCCUAAGCGAGGAUUUAGCCAGGAGUGACAGCUAUCCGCUGAGUGUUAUUGGGGACAGGAUAAACAGUUCGGGAGCUCGGAAGGAGGUGCGAGCCAGACAUCAUUACAAACACAUUAGGGCAUAAUUAAGAAAUCUGUUUAAAAAAAUUUUUUUACUGAAAAAUGUGUUUGUGUUUUGUUACAGUAUUCCUAUGUGAUCUAUGGGGUCUUUAAAUGGAAGUUUGUAUUCUAAGCCACGCUCCGGCUAGCCUUUUAUGUACUUUGUUACAAAUAGGCAAAUGAGAUAGGCAGAUUUGCAACAAUAGAAGUGUAGUGUGGAAGUAGUAAAAUGUGUAGAAAAGGGAAGCUAAUUAUUACAAAUAUCGAUAGGUGAAGAGUUUCCAGUAUUUUUCAGUACUAAAAUUGUGUGUAUCUCUUGAAGUGUUUAAAAUGGAAAAAUAAGAAAAAAGAAAGCCAAAUCUAAAAUGGGAAAACAAGGAACUUCGACACCCUCCCUGAAAAAAGCGAGAAAAAGUCAAGAAUGAAGAUGAACUUGUUGCACUCCGGGUCCUUUGCUAAUUUGUAAAACAAAUACCAGUUCUUCAUUUGGAUACAAAUGAGAGGAAAAAAGAAAAAAAAAAAAACAUGGAAAGAGACAUUAGGGAGGAGAAAA